UAUGCGAUUGCGCUGUGCAAGACUUCCGUUUCUGACUAUAGCCUAAUUCAAUAGCUAUCACAAUUAGUAACUGCUAGCUAGCUAGUUUAGCACAUAUAUCGUGUUGUAUACAUAAGGUUAAGAAGACAUGGAUAGAAGGUCCUGGUUGCCGGUUUGUGUGAUCCUGUUGCUGGCACUCCAAGACUCUUCGCAGGAGAGAGUUGAAGGUUUUACAAGAGGGAAGGUUAUUUUAACAUGUAGGUACAAUGCAAUGCCUACUGAAGAGGUCACCAUAUUUUGGCGAUACAAGGAUGACCGUAAUGUCUACAAUAUUGUCAGUGGAAAAUCAGACUUGACAGACCAACACCGUCAGUUCAGAGACAGAACCAGGAUUUUCCCAGAAGAAUGGGCAAAAGGCAACUUCUCUCUCCUACUGACUGAUCUCAAGGACUCUGAUAGUGGGAGUUAUUCAUGUUUCAUACCAAGAAUGAACAUUCGGCAUCAAGUGGAACUUUCUGUUCAAGAGAAACCAACUCCUGAAGUUGGUUCAAAGAGCAGCAGCAUGAGCAUCAAAGGACAGAACCUCAUCCUCUUCCUGGUUCUCCUCCUCAGUCCAGAUCUCCAUUUCCUUUGAUGUACAUCACAUAAAUUGGUCAUUGUACUGCUUAUGAGACUGUUGACAAGUUCUGAGUGGUUAAACUGCUGAAAUACUUUUUUAUUUUUUAAUGUAUGUAAUAAGUGACUGCAAAUAUAUAUCUUGCUUGAACCACCUUCCUAGAGGUGAGUAAAAUAGUUAUUCCAAAUUGCAUGAAGCCAAAGUGUUUACUGAUAGGACCACUGCAACACCUAAUGGGGAUCCUAGUAAAAUACCAAACAUUUUAGCUUUGCUUUUGUGAACUAAAUGUAAUGCACUUUUAAUACAAUAUUUGUUCUGAUUUAAAGGCAUAAUGUUUUUAAAAACCAGGGCCAUCUGUUAAAUCAAAUUGGAAAUAGAUUUGAGUCAAUGUGUCCCUUCUGUCAACAAGAUGCAGCUUUACUUACUAAGAUAUUGAAGUAUUUCCAGAUCAGUUAUUAAUAUUGUACUACCAAAUGACAUAUGUUUUGUUGAUAUCGAACAUGUGCUCCACAGUAAAAAGCUUAUUAGUUCAGUCAACCUUUCAAUUAGAAAGUAUUUUACUUUGACCACACAGUGUUUUUAAAGGAAACAUAUUCACUUCCUCAAUGCUCUAUAUUAAAGAGUGUUUCUUUUAGCUUUUUGUAAACUAUGGUUUGAUCAUGUUGUUGCAUUGUGUGUUCAGACAGAUGUCUGUUAGAAGGAGGAAGUCAGUUCAGUCUCAAAUAUUUAUCACAGCUCUGAGGAUGUCGAGGAUUGUUGCCUGUCUGCUCUGUAAGACUAUUAUUCUUAUGUUAUUUAUUUUACAUUAAUUUUACAAUAAAUGAAGUGUCUCAUGGAUUCUUCUGUUCUUAGGUGUCUUAAAACUGUGUUGGAACUGAGGCUUUGACAGAGACACUGGUAGAACUUGGACACAAUGCAACACUGAACUGUUCAGUUCUGAUAAAUGGCAUAUUAUUAUAUUUUUUAUCGUACUAAAACUUUUCUUUAGACUGGAUACCAGGCUACCCUUUCCUGCCUUUACAAGCAAUGUUAGGACUAUCUGUUACUGUACUUUUGACUGCAUGGAGACCCAAUACACACUGUAAGAUGUUACUCAGUGAAGUGUGAUCACAAUAGUCUAUACUAAUUCCAUCUGUAUGGGUUAUCUUAGCCAUUUCAGUGCUGUGGAAGAGAGCUGCUUGCCAGAAGAACCAUGACUCUCCUCCAACCCCUGAACCACCUGAAAGGACAGACAGUCUAGAGUAUGACGUGAUACAGCUGGUACUCACACCAAGAGGACCAAGGCCCGACCACGUUGCCUCAACUAUUUACUCCAGAGUUCAGUUUCCAGUAUUUCUGAGGAGUAUUUCUGUCUGUAAUAAAGCCCUUUUGUGUGAAGAA